CGACUAGGUUACCUAUCGUAACAGUUGGUGAGACUAGUAUUAAAUGGAGGUGUUAGGACAUGAGGCAGUGGUAAUCGUCUUGGUUCUAGUGUCUCGAGGUAAUUAGCAGGUACUAAGUGGUACCUGCUAAUUACUAUAUGUUUGGUAGAAUAAGAUAG
rnacentral:ncRNA from 18 species